GCUAACGCGUUAAGUAGACCGCCUGGGGAGUACGGUCGCAAGAUUAAAACUCAAAUGAAUUGACGGGGGCCCGCACAAGCGGUGGAGCAUGUGGUUUAAUUCGAUGCAACGCGAAGAACCUUACCUACUCUUGACAUCCAGAGAACUUUCCAGAGAUGGAUUGGUGCCUUCGGGAACUCUGAGACAGGUGCUGCAUGGCUGUCGUCAGCUCGUGUUGUGAAAUGUUGGGUUAAGUCCCGCAACGAGCGCAACCCUUAUCCUUGUUUGCCAGCGAGUAAUGUCGGGAACUCCAGGGAGACUGCCGGUGAUAAACCGGAGGAAGGUGGGGACGACGUCAAGUCAUCAUGGCCCUUACGAGUAGGGCUACACACGUGCUACAAUGGCGCAUACAGAGGGCAGCAAGCUAGCGAUAGUGAGCGAAUCCCAAAAAGUGCGUCGUAGUCCGGAUUGGAGUCUGCAACUCGACUCCAUGAAGUCGGAAUCGCUAGUAAUCGUGGAUCAGAAUGCCACGGUGAAUACGUUCCCGGGCCUUGUACACACCGCCCGUCACACCAUGGGAGUGGGCUGCAAAAGAAGUAGGUAGUUUAACCUUCGGGAGGAC
rnacentral:rRNA from 1 species